GACGAACGCUGGCGGCGUGCUUAAUACAUGCAAGUCGAACGGAAAGGCCAUGCUUUUGCGGGGCUCUCGAUUGGCGAACGGGUGAGAAAAACACGAGUAACCCCCCCCUAUCUGUGUGAUAACUUCAGGAAACUCGGGCUAAUACCGGAUAGGAUAUUCUGCAGCAUGGUGGGGGUUGGAGAGUGUCGGCGGUUGGGUAUGGACUCGCGGCUUAUGAGCUUGUUGGGGUGGUAGUGGCGUCCCAAGGCUUUGACGGGUAGCCGGCCUGAGAGGGUGACCGGCCUCAUGGGGACUGAGAUAGGCACCAGAAUCGUACGGGAGGCAAUAGUGGGGAGUAUGGCGCAACGGGGCGACGCCUGUUGCGACAACGCCGGGUGCGUGAAAACCGGCUUUGGGUUGUAAACCGCUGUCGCAUGUGACGAAGCGUGAGUGACGGUAAUUGGUAAAGAAGCACCGGCUAACUACGUG
rnacentral:rRNA from 1 species